GAUUAUGGCUCAGAACGAACGCUGGCGGCAGGUCUUAGGCAUGCAAGUCGAACGGAUGACAGAGAGCUUGCUCUCUGAAGUCAGUGGCGCACGAGUGAGUAACGCGUGGGAAACUGCCCUUCACUGGGGAAUAACGUUUGGAAACGAACGCUAAUACCGCAUACGCCCGCAAGGGGAAAGAUUUAUCGGUGAUGGAUGUGCCCGCGUUGGAUUAGCUAGUUGGUGGGGUAAUGGCCUACCAAGGCGAUGAUCCAUAGCUGGUCUGAGAGGACGAUCAGCCACGCUGGAACUGAGACACGGUCCAGACUCCUACGGGAGGCAGCAGCUAAGAAUAUUGGGCAAUGGAGGAAACUCUGACCCAGCCAAUGCCGCGUGAAUGAAGAAGGCCUUCGGGUUGUAAAGUUCUUUUAGUCAUGAAGAUGAUGACAGUAGUGACAGAAAAAGCACCGGCUAACUUCGUGCCAGCAGCAGC
rnacentral:rRNA from 1 species